rnacentral:lncRNA from 1 species
GGGACUGGCAUUCAGUGAGGCUGGGGGAGAAGCUUCCUAAAAGCAUUGCCCUUGAAAAGCAGGGCAUACCUAUCUGAUACUGAGGAUGUAGAAUGCAGUUUGGAGAUGCUUCCUAGCUACCUAAUCUUCCAAGGCAAACCAUGCACUCUUCAUCCUGAUAUUUGUGAUGCCUCCCUGGGCUACAUGACAGAGGGUGCACUGCAAAGGAUGUGAAGGAAAGUCACCACAGGGCAAAGGUGGAAACCCAGGGGCCUUUCCCCAGUGAGACUUUCUGGCUGUUCCUUUGGAACUUCCACCUGCUAGUUGCAGAUGUUUGCCACUGGAUGGGGCCCCAUGCUACGUGGGAACUGUUCAGGACUGUGGGUACUUAGUUCCAGCAGAGCUGGCUCCACCAGGGCACCAGGACUGCAGGCUUCUCAACUCCUGGCCUGGAGAGGCAGCUUCAGCAACCAGUGCCUGGGAAUCCACUAGCCCUUUCUCUGUGAGUCACGUGAGGGCAGAAUCUGCUCAAAGUCAGAGGGCUGGAGCAACCUGGAUUGUGCCAGAGUGAGGGCCCAGCUCACUGGAGGUCAGAGUAAGAGAGUCAAGGAUGGGAAGAAACAGGGUUUUGCUCAGUCUUGCAGAUACUGAGGCACUCAGGAGGCUCAGGAUGGCAGCAACAGGGCAUGUGCUAAACUUACCCUAGCCUCUUCCUUUUAGGCAGCCACCACAGAGGACAUCUGUUUGCCUCUGUACCCUACCCCAUCUCCAUGCUGGUAGAUAUAGUCUGGGGAUACCUUUAAAACAAACAAACAAACAAACAAAACAGGAUCUGUCUAUCACCUGUCCAAAUCCUGAAGCAAAAUGAGCCUUCUUUAUGGCCACCUUGGAAAGGCCUGAGUCCCCAGCAUCACCUGGGAUACAAAGUGUUCUGAGGUGGGGGCAGAGUGCCCUCCUGCCCAGAUGCCACACUCCACAAUAUCUCUUCCUGGCAGACAGGUUUCUCUUAACUUCCUUUGGCAAAUUUGGUUUCACUUCCUUUUGCAACUUUAGAACCUUUCUCAGGUCAGUCAUAAGGUAGUGGAGAAGCCAGGAUUUGAACCCAUUCUGUCUGAUUCCAGAGCUCAUGCAUUAACCACCUGACUGUGGUGCCUCCCCAUCAUAUGUGCAUCAAGUAUGAUCAUUUUUGUAGUUCUCAGAGUACUUAGCACCAUGCACAUCUGUAAUAAGUACAGCCACUGCCUACUGGGAGGUCUAAAGGUUCAACUCAUAAGGGACCCACAGGCCACACUGGGCUCCAGUCUCCUUAAAAGAUGUGGGACGGAGAUCAACAAUUGUCAGCAGAACCCCAUCAGGCAUUUGUCUUCUCACUGAGCCUUGCAGCAAACCACACAGCUGUCUAUAACCUAUCUGUUCCCAGAUUCAAGAACACAAGCUGCUCAUCAGUUGGGUGCAGGAUCCACUCUAGUACAAAAGCUGUGUGUCUCAAGGCAUAAUUCCUUAUGAUUACUUCAUAGCUCUGCUUUUGUCUUGAGACAAAAGAAAUUUCCUUCAAUUCCUACUUUUGCUGAGAUAUUGUUUUUUGAAAAGCAAUUAAAUCUUGUCAAUCACUUUUCCCACCUCUUUGAGAUACUUACAUGGCUUUUCUUCUUUAUUCUCUUAGUGUGGUAAAUUACAUUGAUUUAUUUUAAAUAUGAAACCAGCCUUGAAUUCCAGGAACAAACUCCAUUUGGACAUGCUAGAACAACCUUUUAUAUUUGUUUAGAUUUGAUUUCCUGAAGUGGUGUUAAAAGGUUUUCAUAUCUAUGUCUGUGAGGGAUAUUAAUCUGUACAUUUUUUUAUUACUAUUUUCUGGUGUUAUGGUAAUGCUAGUCUCAUAGAAUGAAUUAGGAAAAGUUGCCUCCUUCUGUAUUUUCUGAGAGUUUGUGUGGCACUGGUAAAAUAUUUUCUGUAUAUGUUUGACAUAAUUCACCAGGAAAAUUAUUUGUACCUACAAGUUCCCUCCUGGAAAGAUGUUGAUAAUCACUUAUUAUCCUUUCAUUGUCUGCCAGAUCUGUGGCAUUGCUUUUUUCUCUGGUAUUAGUAAUUUAAAUUUUCCCUUAUUUCUUGAUCAAUUUUGGCAGAGAUUUAUCAAUUUUAUUAAUCUCUUUUAAAAAUCUGUAUUGAGCUUUGUUAAUUUUCUCUAUUACAUACUUUUUAUUUCUACUCUUACGAUUGCUAUUUCUUUAUUUCUCCUUUGGAUUUAGCCCAUUUUUCUAUUUGUCUAAUUUUAGGAUUUAAAAUUCAAUCAUUAUUUUUAGAUAUUUUUAUUUUUAAAUAUAAACAUGAAAGUUGCAAUAUUACCUUGGGCACUGUUUUGACUGCAUUCCACAAGUUUUUAUUUGUCAUGUUUUAAUCACCAUUCAGUUCAAAAUACUUUCUAAUGCUCCUUGUUAUUUCUUCUUUGACCCAUUGGUUAUAUAAAAGUACGUUUUGCUUUAUUUCUAAAUAUGUGAAGACUUUCUAGAUAUCUCAGUUAUUUAUUACUAAUUUA